rnacentral:lncRNA from 1 species
CUGGGUUCUGUUGUUGGCAACCAACAGAGUUGUUGUCUUUUCUCGCAUUCAUUAAAAUGCACAAGAAGAAAUUUCUAAUGGUGAGGGAGUACUUGCUUCAAAUUCAUACUUCAGUGAAAUAAACAACACCAUACAUAGGAAUGUGAAAGCAAAGUCAUCAUACACUGUUUGCUUCAUUGUAUGAGAAUCAAUGUUUGCAUGAUAAACUGCCCUAAUGGAAGAGGACUCUGAGUUACCUUUUUCGAGCAAAGCCACCUAGGUUACUCUGUUUUCCCCAGAGUGACCCUUCUGUUCUGCAAAUUUUCAGAUUGAAGGGAGUAGCAGUAGAGUAUCAGAAGUAUCAGAAGCAAAAAAGUAAAUGUAUGAUUUGCAAAGCAUAACAAAAUGAAAAAUAAGCUUCUGCAGUCAUGGAAGUUCAGAAUUGGAUAACAACUUAGAUUAUUUAUUCCAACCUCAUCGAAAAAGAGAUAAAGACAUGGAAUUCAGGAAAAGUGAAAUCUACUUAAAUGUACCAAUCACAGCAGAGUCUUUUGGAACUUAAACAUCUUGACUCUUCUGUUUAAAGCCUAAAUCAACCUGAGAGAAGAGAUGAAACAACUGAGGGCCAAAAAGUUUACAAAAUUUUCCAAGAUCAUACAGCUAAUUAACAACAUCUGGGCUCUUCUUGACUUUUGGAAUCCAAAAGGUGCUACCAGCAUCCCAAGGUGUCCAGCUUGUAGACAGCCUGUCGUGGGACUUCUCAACCUCCAUAAUUGUAUAACCUCAAAGUAAUGGGAGAAGAUACACAAGUGAUCAUUGCCAGGACUGAAGACUGUUCCUAGGACUACUAUUUGGAUCAACAGAAGCUGAAAAUGAGAAUAUCAAAGGCUGGGCAGAUAGUUUCACUCACGGGCAUUGAUCAGGAUGGCUGGAGGUCACCUGCUGCAAGAAGCACUGUGUUUUCUGUGCAGCUUAAUGAGAGGGAGCAUAUCAUUUCAGGACUCUCACAGGAUGCAGUGUUACUGAGAAUCUCAUGAGGCAAAUCCUAAAUGCCAGGAUAAAUUUGCAGAGAUAGAACUACUACUUUUUUUUUUUAAAUUUCCUUUUGUUAUGACUUGAACGUGUAAGGUCAUGCUUCGAGCCUGCUAUCCUAUAGCUCUCAAUUCUAAACUAGUUGCAAGUAUAUUGGACUUCUUGCCCUGACCCCUGUCCCUUUGAUAGGCCAGGUGAAUCCAAAUAUGCCCGAGUGCAUCUCACAGAAUACAUCUGAUUCUAGGAUGGGACUAGAGGUCUCCUGGUAUUUAGAACUGCAAAAUGAGGUAGCAAAAGCUCUAGUCAUAUGCCUCCCAUUUAUUUGACAUAUCAUCACAAACAUGUCCAUAAUUUACCAAGGUUGAUCCACUGCCUACUACAUUUGUGUGUGAAAAUGUGUCAUGCUUUGUGGAAAAAGUGAAAAUAGUUAUCUGUAUGGUGGGUGCACUUUGAGUGACUGGGGUGGGGUAUGAGCACUGUCUUACAAAAAAGUCAAGAGUAAUAUCUGACAAAGAUACUGUCCUUUACCCUGGAUACCAACAGAUGUUCUUGUUUUCAUUCAAAAUUACAAUUAUCAUUGAAGUGCACAGUGGCUUUUAAUUGAGACAGAUAAAACGUAACUUCAAGUAUUGAAGUAAUUUUUUUUUACUGUUUUUAAGACAACUGAAGAUCUGAGCAAUUCUUGGCAUGACUUUUCUCCAUUCAGUUUAGAUUUUUGUGAUAAAAGGCGACUAUAAUAAAGAGAAUGGUAAAGGAAAAUAUCUAACAUGGAAUUUAUAUCUAAUCUUCUUGAAAGUUAUGAACACUUGUUAAUCCUUAAUUUCAACUCUUGAGAUUUCAUCUGAUUUGAGAUAUUCCU